rnacentral:rRNA from 1 species
UACCGUGGCCGUGACGGGUGACGGGGGAUUAGGGUCCGACUCCGGAGAGGCAGCCUGAGAGACGGCUACCAGACCUAAGGGUCGCAGCAGGCGCGCAAAUUGCCCAAUCCUAACACAGGGAGGCAGUGAAGGGGCAUAACAAUGCCGCGCCCUUUCGGGUGCGGCAAUUGGAAUGAGUCAGUCGCAAAAGACCGAACGAAGACCACGCGAGGGCAAGUCUGGUGCCAGCAGCCGCGGUAAUUCCAGCUCGCGUAGUGAAUGCUAAAAUUGCUGCAGUUAAAACGCUCGUAGUUGGAGGUGUGGUUUUUUUUAAAGAGGGGCUAUUUUCUUUGCGCGUUGAUUCGCGCGAUGUAGGGUCGACUCUCGCCUUCAGGGACGAAAUCGGGGUAGAACCUGAUUUCAUUAGUCCCCUUUUACUUUGAACAAAUUAGAGUGUUUCAAGCAGGCAGUAAUGCUUCUGAAUACAUUAGCAUGGGAUAAUGAGAUAGGACUUUGGUCUCUGUUUCGUUGGCUCUCCAGGACCGAAGUAAUGAUCGAUAGGGACAGUUGGGGGUGCUAGAAUUUAACGGCCAGAGGUGAAAUUCUUGGAUUCGUUAAAGACUAACCAAUGCGAAAGCAUUCACCAAGGAUGUCUUCUUUAAUCAAGAACGAAAGUAGGGGGAUCGAAGUGGAUCAGAUACCCACGUAGUCUCUACCGUAAACGAUACCGACCAGGGAUGAGGGGUGAAAACGGUGUAACCUCUGCGCGUGGCGACACGCGCGGAAACGCCCCCCUUCGCACCUUGUGAGAAAUCAAAAGUAAUCAGGUUCUGGGGGGAGUAUGUUUGCAAGAAUGAAACUUAAAGGAAUUGACGGAAGGGCACACCAGGAGUGGAGCCUGCGGCUUAAUUUGACCCAACACGGGGAAACUUACCAGGUCCAGACAUAGUGAGGAUUGACAGAUUGAAGAUCUUUCUUGAUUCUAUGGUUGGUGGUGCAUGGCCGUUCUUAGUUGGUGGAGUGAUUUGUCUGGUUUAUUCCGUUAACGAACGAGACCUCGACCUGCUAAAUAGGGGGGGCCACUGUGGGGGGUCUCUUUUGGUCCCUGACUGUGUGGCUUAAGCUGCCCCCUUCUUAGAGGGACAAUCGGUGUGUAGCCGGUGGAAGUUCGAGGCAAUAACAGGUCUGUGAUGCCCUUAGAUGUUCUGGGCCGCACGCGCGCUACACUGACGCGUUCAUCGAGCUCAAUCUAUUCGUGUGCCUGGGCCGAGAGGCUUUGGGGAAUCUAUUGAAAGCGCGUCGUGAUGGGGAUAGACUAUUGCAAUUAUUGGUCUUCAACGAGGAAUUCCUAGUAAACGCGCGUCAUCAGCGCGCAUUGAUUACGUCCCUGCCCUUUGUACACACCGCCCGUCGCUACUACCGAUUGAAUGUCUUAGUGAGUUGGGGGGAGGGCGGAGCUGGUGGCGACACUGCUUUGCCGCGAACCUCUUCAAACUUGAACAUUUAGAGGAAGUAAAAGUCGUAACAAGGUU